GUUAUUUCAGAAUAUUGGAUUCCAGACCUUGUUUGAAACGUUUGGGCACUGGCAGAGAACAUUCUGCUCCUUCCUGCUCUCCACCUGAUUCAGGAGUUCUACGGGCAGUGCUGGAAGGGUCAUCCUUCAAGGUGUUGUGGAGUUUGCUGGCAGCAGAGCUGGAGUUCACCCAGAUCAUCAUCAUCAUUGUGGUGGUCACUGUGAUGGUCGUGGUCAUCAUUUGCCUGCUGAGCCACUACAAGGUUUCCACACACUCCUUCAUUCAGCAGCCAGGCCCGGGCAGGCGGCAGGGGGAAGCAGUGCUUCUGGAAGGGUACAUGUGGCCUUCAAAUGGUGCUGUGCUACGGCCCCAGGCCUCAGAGGCCACCAUCAUGCCGCGGGACCGCUUUGGCAGCCCCACGCUGGCCCCAGCCCUUUCGUACGCGCGGCCUGAGCUGGACCUGCCGCCCACCAUCUCGCUGGCCGAUGGCGAGGAGCCGCCGCGGUACCUGGGCGCCUGCGCGACCCGAGCAGCAGCGUGAGCCCAGCCGCCAGUCAGUGCACGCGCCACCCAACCGCACGGCGUUUGCGGGCGGCCCUGGGGCCUCGCGCCCGUGCCCGCCCAGCAGCCAUGCGGGCGUCAGUGCUGGCUGCGCCCGGGGCACAGCGGGCCGGCGGGGGGCAAUGUGGGGUCGCGGGCUGGGCCACCGCCGCCCUACAGCGAGCGACGGGGACCCCAGGNNNNNNNNNNNNNNNNNNNNNNNNNNNNNNNNNNNNNNNNNNNNNNNNNNNNNNNNNNNNNNNNNNNNNNNNNNNNNNNNNNNNNNNNNNNNNNNNNNNNNNNNNNNNNNGGGGGCGCCACCUGAUCCGGCCAGUAUCCCUAUUUCCUUCCUGGUCUGACCACACUAAAGCGAGGCGACUCCCGCCUCCCCCUCGGUGUCCUUAAAGACAGCAGCGUAGAGAGACCGUCUCGGGGAAGAGGCCCGAGAGGGUCGGGUGAGCAAUAGCUCAGGCUGUAACAGGUCAGGGAACCGGGAGGCCACAUGGCCACACCUCUCCGUUGGGCACACCCGCUGGUUGGACCCCGGACCCCUGUGCCCAUGCUGUGCGAGGUUGCCCCUCUCUGUGUGAUGCGCAGGUUGGAGCUCAGGCUCUGUGGCUGGCGGGGAGAUUGGUUUCCUGGGUCCCCGGCUAUGGAACCACUCCCCUGAACACAAGUGGUCGCUGUGCAGCACUUCCCUCAAACAGAGCACAUCGCUGGCCAGGCCUUGGGGUGGGAGACAGGACCCCAGCACCCCCAGUUCCAGUGUCACCUUGCUGGUCUCACAUGCAGGUCACUACCACUGUGCCUGGGCUCUCACACUGCUCUCAUCCUCAGGCAGUGUGUUUUCUCGGUUUAACUCCUUUCCCCUGUAGCUUGGAUUUUGUUCAGAUGCGUACCUUUCGUAGUCACUGUUGAGAUGCAAGUGGUUCUAUUGAGCCGGGAGGAAGCCUAUGCCUAGGAUCCCAGCUGCUGGGCAGGCAGGUGGCGCAGUGGUGCUGCAGGCCAAGACGUCUGCCCUGGGGUGAGCGCUGGCGAGGCAUGGGGAUGUGGGUGUGAGUGCCUGGCGCUUCCUAGUGCCUCACACAGCACCACGUGGACAACCUCAUCGUGGACCUGCCCCAGGGUGGGUGCUGGAAGGGGAGGGGACCAGAGGGGGCCAACUGUAGCUGAAUGAGCAACUGGGCCAGAGUGGGUGCAAGUCCGGCCAGAAGCCCAACUUAACUGUGGGGUCCUCGUUUUAGUAUUCCUACUGUUUCAACUGUUCAUCGUUACAUACAAUGAAAAAUAACCUCCUGCAAAUGUGAGCACUGCUUUGAGGAGCAGAGCUUGCACGGGGGUUGUCAGGACCUUUCCAGGCCCACACGGGACAUGGGAACCAGGUUGCUGACUUGGUCAUGCAGUCGAUGUAGCUUCCACCUGGUCAGCAUCUACUGCUGCUUGUUUGUGUGUCUGUGUUUCUGGAGGCGACCCUUGAGGGACUCACCUAGGUCCUAUGUAGCCUCAUCUCUUUCCUGGUGUGUAUCCUGGUAACAGGCCAUAGGAUGGAAUCACUGUGAGAUUCACCUGUGCACACACAGAAGCAUCCACAACCAUAGUAGACUGGUGAGACAAGGAUCAGAGGGGCUAUUGCUAGCUCUGGCUGAGGUACUGCUUAGCAGGGCUCUGGGUGAGGGCCGUGAGGGAAACUGAGGCUCAUUUUGGUACUGCCAGGAGAGCCCUACUCUCAGAGCAGAGAUAAACUUCCCCCAUUCUGGAUCCCCUGGGCCUCCUAGUGGGGAAGUGGCUGGGAGGUGGUCAGUGUCCCUGGCACACAGGUAAGGUCUUCACUCUGAGUCAUGCUUGCAGGUAGGGGAGCAGGGGAGCUGUCCUCAGUGUUCCCAUCAGUGUUCCCUGCAGAGAAUGACACCUGAGACCUAGUGUGCCCUGUGACUCUGCAAUCCACAAACACUUUGUGGAUCCUCAGAGUAUUAAAAAGAAAUCAUUGAAUUCAAGUCCCUUAGAAAAGAAGUUCCUACCCCAUUGCUUCUUAGGUCAUUGGUUGUUUGAAGACACACACAGCAAGUGUGGCCUGGAAAGGUCUCUGAGGCUGGGCCUCUGUAACCAGUAGCUAGACUAGUAGUCUCCUUCCUGUUGGUAGCUUUUCUACCAGGCUGGUGUGGCCCAGCCUAGUGCCUUCUCUUCUAGUGUUACAAAAGUUGUGCUUCUGACCCAGGACUAGUUUAGAGCAGAGGUGUGGGUAGCAUGACAGAUGUGAGUCAAGAUUACUCUACAGAGCAGGCAUGUAAAGGGCUUUGUCGUUGAGAGGGGGGUGGUAGAGAUGCCAUGCCACUUAUGCUUGAUCCAAGUGUGCAGGGCUGUGACCCAGAGGCACACAGAACCCCAUCAGGGGAAAACUUUUCCCAAACAUGAGGCCAUUCAGUGACAAGAUUGUGAGAAUCACAUGCCUAUAAAGUAGAUGUUUUCUGUCCUAUCAAGAUAGAUAAAAUGUACCCCACCCUCCACCUGUGGAUACACCAGCCCACAAGAGCCACUGGGCAGCAGGGGGAUCCAGGAGCAGCGGGGGAAUUAGCGGACUGCUGUGUGGGGCAAGAAGGCCUAGCAAGCCUUCCCCUGAGUUCCAUCUCCCUAGGAAUAAAGUGCUUGACCAGAAACAUUUCCAGGGAUGCACUGAUAGGAAAAAUCAUCACAUUUUGGCCCUCAGUAUUGGCUCCCACCCAGGGGACUGCCUUAGAGUCUGUGUGAAGUGCUUACCAAAGUGUAGACACAUGCUAGGGUGCUUUGAGCAGCAGGAUUGACUUUCUGUACCAUUCCUUGUGCCUAUGUGCAGCUUUGUCCUCUUUUGUAAGGAUAUUUGCAAAUGGAUGCAUAUAAAGUCCAUGUAGUUUAUUUUCCUAUUAAAUGUUGAUAUUGUAAUACAAGAGAAAGAAGUGUGAACAAGCAAGAAAGUUUAUGACCAGCAUCUAUUCUGCAACUGAGAGUGGCUUCUUUGCUAUAAAAACUCACAGCUUUUUGGUGGCCAUUAAAUGGCCCUUACUUUACUCAUUUUAGAAAUACCAAGUUGGACAGUUACAUUUUAGUCAGCAAAAAGGGCUGAGUCCAGCUUUUUUCUUGCUGUGGCAUAGCAAAGGCUCCAGUGAGAGGCCCGAGCUCAUGUUGUUAAAUCAGCAAAGCAAAGAACUCUGCAGUCUGAUGACCGCUCAGCUGUGGAGCCAGAACUGGUCAGGCCAAGGCAGGAUUGUGAUCGUCCCUGUUGACAUCCUGCUGUAUUCUGGCCUGAAAACCUGCCCAGUGCUGCCAAAAGUAAGAGAGCAUGCAGAAUGACCCUCCCCUCCAGCUCAGCUGAGUUUCUGGUUGGGAUCUCUACACUGUUCUGCAGCUAUUCCAGCACUUCUCUUAAGCACAAGACACCCCCACAUCACUAUGUCCCUUCAAACCACUGCUGGUUCCUGGGUGUUGAGCACUGUCCACGAAGGUGGUCAUGGAUUCUGCCAUUUGACUCACACUUCCAGGUUCGUCUGCCACCAUGCACCAUUCUAAUAAAGCCUAUUUUUAUUUUCUGUAUGGUAUGUGUACAUUCUGCCCUUGAGAAUCAAAGUAGCCUUCAGAAAAUGAGGCAUCACAGAUCAUCCUCACCUAGAAAUGCCUACUCCAGCUUUUCCCCUGCUGCUGCUGGGAAGGACAGGGUCCCUGGGGCCCUCAGAAGCUCAUGGGCAUGGGUUGUGUCCUCAGCUUCCAUCAGCAGAGCCCCCGUUUCUGUGCUGGUCCCUUCUGACAUGCCAUCAGCAGAUGGCUUGUUUUCAUCUCUUGACUUUUGAAUCAUGGUUUUCUAAUUGUGUACUUGCCUAGCUUAAAGCUGUUUUAAAAUACAGUACUUUCUACAGUAUUUCAUUCACUUAAUUUUUAUUAUAAAGCAAUCCACUGAAAGUAUGACUGUACUUAAGCUUUUUAGUCUUUGUGAGCUGAGUCAUUAAAGUCCUUUUUAAAAAACAAUGAUUUGUGCUUACUUUUCAGCAUAAUUCUCAACUUCAGCAGUGGUGAUAUGGGUGUUUGGCCUCAGGUCUAUAAUUACAGUGCUUUGCAGAAAUGUGUUGUACCAAGUGCUAUUUGUUGUAAACUUAGGUUUUUCUGCUUGUCCUUAAAACUUUGGUCAAACCAUAGCACACAAAUCAUUAAAAAAAAUCAGUGAUAUAUCUUUGUCCCCUGGAUUUAUUUCUCAACAACAAUACACAUGGAAAAACCAAUGGAUCAAAGGCCUGUCUUGGAGAAAUAGUACUAAGCUACGCUGGCUCACACCAAUCAUUUUACUGGUCCCUCAUCCAUGUCCCACCAGCUCUGAGUCACUCUGACCCCCUAAGGAUCACUGUUUCCUGGUCUGCUGUCAGCAGCUCUGGUCAGAUCAUGGCAUCCUCUUCUGGCUGGGGUUUCAGCACCAUUUCCAGAGGGAGGGCCAAGAAGAAGUCUCAGCCAUGAGGACACUGGUGACAGUAGUGAGGAGAUUUAAGUGUGUAGAUUCUGUGUGGAUGCACCCCCUGGCAGAGCUCUUCAUCCCUUCUUUCCUGGAUGGCCUGUUUGUAUUCCCUGUCCCCUCAGGCAAAGGACCAGCCCAGCUGCUCCCAGACAAUAAACUAUGAGAUCAGGGAGGAAAGAAAGAAGGUGUCAGGCUCGAUCAUGCUCUGCCAACCCAGAGGCCAUGCUCUGUGGCUACUUGUCCUUUAUCUGAACAACAGCUGGCAUAAACUUCUCACUUUGUGGUUGUCUGAGGACUAAGAUGGCACUGAAGACUCAGGAAGAGGCCCUGAAACAGAAAAGCUGAGAACUGAUGUCCAGUGGGACUUAGCCAGGCUGCAAGGUGGGGGCUUCAAUUUGGAGAGUGGAGGGGAGUCCACAGCUUUCCAGACUGGCUGACCUGGUGCCCACCCAUCACCCUCCUUCCUCAGGUUGCUACUGCCUGCUGGAGCCCGCUAGGCUGGUGACAGCCUUUUGAACUGUGUAAUGCCUCCAAGAUGGGUCUUCCUGUUCCGACUCUGUGAUGACGGCCUGCACGUCACAGUUUAUGAGCCUGUUAGGACAGCUUAUACACACUACACACUGUUACAGUGAUCUAUUCUGUUUAAAUGGAUUCAAUUAAAAUACACAUUGUACAACCGCAGCCACUGUUGUGCUUUUAAAUUUAG
ensembl:lincRNA